rnacentral:rRNA from 1 species
UAGGGAAUCUUCCGCAAUGGGCGAAAGCUUGACGGAGCAACGCCGCGUGAGUGAUGAAGGUCUUCGGAUCGUAAAACUCUGUUAUUAGGGAAGAACAAAUGUGUAAGUAACUAUGCACGUCUUGACGGUACCUAAUCAGAAAGCCACGGCUAACUACGUGCCAGCAGCCGCGGUAAUACGUAGGUGGCAAGCGUUAUCCGGAAUUAUUGGGCGUAGAGCGCGCGUAGGCGGUUUUUUAAGUCUGAUGUGAAAGCCCACGGCUCAACCGUGGAGGGUCAUUGGAAACUGGAAAACUUGAGUGCAGAAGAGGAAAGUGGAAUUCCAUGUGUAGCGGUGAAAUGCGCAGAGAUAUGGAGGAACACCAGUGGCGAAGGCGACUUUCUGGUCUGUAACUGACGCUGAUGUGCGAAAGCGUGGGGAUCAAACAGG